rnacentral:rRNA from 1 species
GGACUACUGGGGUAUCUAAUCCCGUUCGCUCCCCUGGCUUUCGCCCCUCAGCGUCAGGUGCUGCCCAGGACACUGCCUUCGCCUUCGGUGUUCCUCCGGAUCUCUACGCAUUUCACCACUCCACCCGGAAUUCCGUGUCCCUCUUCAGCCCUCAAGUGCGCUCGUUUUCUCUCUCCUUCGUCAGGUAAGCCGACGACUGUCACAGAGAACGCAGCCCACCGCCUACAGGCCCUUUACGCCCAGUAACUCCGGACAACGCUCGCCCCCUACGUAUUACCGCGGCGGCUGGCAC